rnacentral:misc_RNA from 1 species
GAAUGAAGAACGUAGCGAAAUGCGAUAAGUAAUGUGAAUUGCAGAAUUCAGUGAAUCAUCGAAUCUUUGAACGCACAUUGCGCCCGCCAGUAUUCUGGCGGGCAUGCCUGUUCGAGCGUCAUUUCAACCAUCAAGCCCCAGGCUUGUGUUGGAGCCCUGCGGCUGCCGCAGCCUCCCAAAACCAGUGGCGGGCUCGCUAUCACACCGAGUGCAGUAGUUUACUCUUCGCUCAGGGCGUGUGGCGGGUGCUAGCCGUAAAACCCCCAACUUCUCAAGGUUGACCUCGGAUCAGGUAGGAAUACCCGCUGAACUUAAGCAUAUCAAUAAGCGGAGGA